rnacentral:lncRNA from 1 species
CCUUCAGGACACUGAACAUCCCAAGGAAAACAAUGGCUAAAAACCAGUCACAUGUAAUGCGUUGCUCAUUUUCACACAGCAGAAGCCUCAGUUGACAAAUCUAGACAACAAAAGCUUUAAACAAAAAAUAUUAUCUCUAAGCGGAACUGUAUUUAUCUGGUCCCCUAAAGAAUUUUUCUUCUUUCUGGCUUUGGAUUUUUUUUGCCAGUGGGUGCUCUGCUUCCCUGUUGCUUGAGGUAAAGAAAUCUACAACAAUGUCUCUUUCUCCAUUAAAAUGUCCCUGCAAAUGUCUAGAGAUAAAUUCACAGUAUUUUUAAAAGCCUAAGUGGAUGCAGAGCUGGAAAGCUGAUGUUGUUUUAGUGCCACAGCAAGGAUGUUACACAGCAUUAGAAAACCUAAUGAAUCUUCGUUCAGAGCACACAGGUUGCUUCAUUGCGACACAGCUUGCCUGCAAGCACAAAGCCCAACAGCUUUGCCCACGUCGAUCUGCCUGUGCCAGGCCGAGGUGCAGGGGGAGGCUUUCUUCCGUAUGCUCAGUGUUUGUAGAAGCUUUGGCUGCUUUCCCACAUGCAUUUGACAGCUGUUUUAUCUUACAGAUCACUUGGUGCUUUCAGGAUAAGGAAAUGUUUCUAAGGAGGAAGUUGGUGAAAGAAAGCAGCAAAACACCCUUCCUUAAAGCGUCCCUGUUUUCAUGCAGUUCCAGAGAUUUGCAUUGGGGCCAGUGGAACAAGCUGCUACCUCUGGAGUGUUCUACAAUGCAACUCAGUGAUGGCAACUCUCCUAAAACCUGGACACAAAAGGACAUUAUGAUUUGCAGAAAUCUAAGUCUAUAACCCAGAGUUAGGUUAUAAAGCAGGUAUGUUUUUAUUAUGUCGGGUGCAAGGGGGAUCGCUCCUCCUAACUUGCACACCCACAAGCAGAAGCAUUACAUUUUUAAAAGCCAAGCUCAUACAUAAUCAGCAGAUUUCCAAG